rnacentral:piRNA from 1 species
UCUGAGUAUCUUCUAGGCCUUCUCCAC